ACGAAAAGUUGAAAUCUACAUUCUUACGUAUUUUCAUCCCUAUUCACACUUCACACACCUCACGCUAUGCGUUCCAAAUGUGUGACUAGGGUUUCACACAUUUACAUUGAUACAUUCUGAAGAUUAAUGCAAAGACCUUCAGUCAGUCUUUCUCUCCCUCUCUUCAUUUGAAAUGUCAUCAGGAGGUCCAUCUCAACAUCCACCUUAUGUUGACAGAAAAAGAAAGCGGAUUACACAACGAAAGGAACGACGUUAUGUGCCAAGAGUUACACCAGAUCACAUACCAUCUUGAUCUGCCCCAAUUCCAUCCAUUGUUGUUGUGACACCCAAACCUCUCCUAUCCCCAUCUAUUGUCGCACCCACACAAAAAAAUCAGGCUUUUGAAAAGGAACAGGAGCUUGGACUAUCUAUGUUGAUUGAUGAGGUCUUUCAGCAAACUCAUAUAUUGAAGGAUAAUGGCCAACUUGUCCACGAAAGAUAUAAGACACAUGAAGAAUUUGAGCCUAGACUUUCACAAGCCAAGUCUGAGGUUGGACGAAGCAGAAGUGACUAGUGCUUUUAAUCCUAUUCAGGACAAGAUUGUCAAGACUCAGUGUUGGGUUGAAACAAUUGGUGGAAAACAUUAUGGAGCUAAACAACUUACUACAAAUUGUAGAAGCGAGAAUGAUAGCCUAUAUAUGACUCUGAGGAGAUAAACCAACUUAGACAACGAAUUUCAGCUUGUGAGGAGGCGAAGGAACAUUGUCUCGCCAGAUGGAAGCCUUUGAGUCCUUAUUGGGUGAAAUUAUACAAUUUCUCCCUCUUGAUGCACAAAAUCUUUAUCAGAAGUACUUGAUCAACCAAGGCCAACACAAGCAACAUGUCCCCCAACAAGAAGACCCUCAACAAUCCCAACAGAACCAACAACAAAAUGAUCAAGAGUAGAAAUAAUAAUUUAAAUAUUGUUAUUUAAAGUUUAUAUGUGGUCUUAAGAUGGUAUGUGAUACUCACUUUUUAUUUAAUAUUUACUUUCCAAACUCGUGUUAUAUGUUUAAGAUAUUUGGUUCUUAAAUUUGAUAUUUAAGGUUUACGAUAUGGUU